rnacentral:rRNA from 1 species
UACGUAGGGUGCGAGCGUUAAUCGGAAUUACUGGGCGUAAGGCGUGCGCAGGCGGUUCUCCAAGUCCGUUGUGAAAGCCCCGGGCUCAACCUGGGAAUGGCAGUGGAAACUAGGGGACUGGAAUCUGGCAGAGGGGGGUGGAAUGCCGCGUGUAGCAGUGAAAUGCGUAGAGAUGCGGCGGAACACCGAUGGCGAAGGCAGCCCCCUGGGCUGAGAUUGACGCUCAGGCACGAAAGCGUGGGGAGCAAACAGG